rnacentral:misc_RNA from 1 species
GUACACCUCUGUACUUUGUGUGGGAGAAGCUGAUAGGAAUGCAUGACACCAAGAGCAUAUGCCUGAGGGCACUUGCAAGGCUGCCGGUGGUGAUACCCAUAUGGUUUUUGGCCAUUAUUUUCCCAUUUUUUGGACCUAUUAACUCUGCAGUUGGUGCACUGCUGGUCAGCUUCACCGUUUACAUCGUCCCAUCUUUGGCCCAUAUGCUUACCUACAGAAAAGCCUCUGCUAGACAGAACGCAGCAGAAAAGCCUCCGUCCUUUUUACCAAGCUGGACUGCCAUGUAUGUUGUAAACACCUUUGUGGUGGUGUGGGUUUUGGUUGUUGGUUUUGGGUUCGGUGGAUGGGCCAGCAUGACCAACUUUGUCAAGCAAGUUGACACAUUUGGGCUCUUCGCCAAAUGCUACCAAUGCAAGCCCCCAGUACCUCCACCAGCAGUAGCAGCACCGCCAACUUCUAAUACUACCCAUCAUCCAUGAGAUCGACAAGCUUCAAAUUGAAAUUAAUCUCUUUCUUUCAUAUUUUGUAUCAUACAUGGGGAAGUAGUAGCAAU